rnacentral:lncRNA from 1 species
CUGGGGGGCCACACGGUCCUACCGUGAUCCCUGCCCCCCCGGGUGCAGUUCCACGUCAAAGAUGAAGACUGCUAUCCUUGGGAUAUUCUACAAAACACUCUUCAUCUCAAAGACAACCUGUGAAGAGCUGAGAGAGUAUCUGAAUAAUGCUGAAAAAGUCAUCAAGCGAACUGAGAAGUAUCUGGGACAACUCAGUGCAUUAGCUUCGCCUGCUGUUGAGUCUUGUUCAUUAAGCAAUAUUCCUGGUUACCUGCCCAAGCUGCGUGGGUGUGUGGCAAGGAAGGUUACUGACAGUCUUGUACAAUGGAAGGAAAUCCGGCAUGCCAUGUGCGGGCUGGCCAGUGAGGUGGUGAAGCUCUGCAGCGAGGCUGAUGCAGCGCACCAUGCGGUGGGCGCGGCCCUACCGCCCGACCCGGACCCAUGUGUCCCGCGGCCCGUUGUCGUGUUGGAGACAGUACACGACUGUCGCUGCUCCUUCGCCCAGCUGUUGCACUUACUACAAGAAGAAGAAGAGGACGUUUCCCAGGCACCUGACGAUGAAAUUUCGAACAUUCGCGAAGACCUACUGGAAAUGAAAACUAUUCUGGAGGUUAUUGAGGAGCGUCUCCAGCUGUGUGCAUAUGUGACGUUGGCUUGGGAAGAGGAGACUUGUUCCGCCCGGUGAUGGCUGCAUCUACAUCCCGAUCUUGGCGCAAGCGGCUGUGGCUGAGGCUACAUACUUGUCUGUCGUCUCCGACUUUUCUGGUCGAGAAGCUGAAGAGCGAUGGCACACCGGAUUAUGGCAUUCUAGUCAAUAUACUGUUUUUUGUUUUUUUCAUGGAUAGUUUACGUUGCUUGCUACUGGCAGAUUGCCAGGCUAACCUUGUCUUCCUAAACCCACUCCUUGUUUACGUCAAAGCGGGGAAGAACGUGAUCCUCUCACCAUGGCACAACCGAGCACCGAUGAUACGAAUGCAUCGCGACUUCG